CCUACGGGGGGCAGCAGUGGGGAAUAUUGGACAAUGGGGGCAACCCUGAUCCAGCCAUGCCGCGUGUGUGAAGAAGGCCCUCGGGUUGUAAAGCACUUUCAGUGAGGAAGAACGCCUGGUGGUUAAUACCCAUCAGGAAAGACAUCACUCACAGAAGAAGCACCGGCUAACUCCGUGCCAGCAGCCGCGGUAAUACGGAGGGUGCGAGCGUUAAUCGGAAUUACUGGGCGUAAAGCGCGCGUAGGUGGCUUGAUAAGCCGGUUGUGAAAGCCCCGGGCUCAACCUGGGAACGGCAUACGGAACUGUCAAGCUAGAGUGCAGGAGAGGAAGGUAGAAUUCCCGGUGUAGCGGUGAAAUGCGUAGAGAUCGGGAGGAAUACCAGUGGCGAAGGCGGCCUUCUGGACUGACACUGACACUGAGGUGCGAAAGCGUGGGUAGCAAACAGGAUUAGAUACCCUUGUAGUC
rnacentral:rRNA from 1 species